rnacentral:rRNA from 1 species
AUACGGAGGGUGCAAGCGUUGUUCGGAAUUACUGGGCGUAAAGCGCGCGUAGGUGGUCUGUUAUGUCAGAUGAGAAAGUCCACGGCUCAACCGUGGAAGUGCAUUUGAAACUGGCAGACUUGAGUACUGGAGGGGGUAGUGGAAUUCCCGGUGUAGAGGUGAAAUUCGUAGAUAUCGGGAGGAAUACCGGUGGCGAAGGCGACUACCUGGCCAGAUACUGACACUGAGGUGCGAAAGCGUGGGGAGCGAACAGGAUUAGAAACCCCAGUAGUCC